GCCGAUGUAGCUCAACUGGCCAAGAGCGGACGCCUCGUAAGCGUCAGACCCGGGAUCAUGCCCCGGCAUCGGCUCGA
rnacentral:tRNA from 1 species